rnacentral:rRNA from 1 species
CCGCACCUCGACAGCG